rnacentral:rRNA from 1 species
GACGAACGCUGGCGGCGUGCUUAACACAUGCAAGUCGAACGGUGAAGCGCCUUCCUUUUUGGUGGGUGUGGAUGAGUGGCGCACGGGUGAGUAACACGUGAGUAACCUGCCCCCUUCUUCUGGAUAACCGCAUGAAAGUGUGGCUAAUACGGGAUAUUCUGGGUCUGUCGCAUGAUGGGUCUGGGAAAGAUAUUGUUUCGGUGGGGGAUGGGCUCGCGGCCUAUCAGCUUGUUGGUGGGGUGAUGGCCUACCAAGGCGGUGACGGGUAGCCGGCCGGAGAGGGUGGACGGUCACACGGGGACUGAGACACGGCCCAGACUCCUACGGGAGGCAGCAGUGGGGAAUAUUGCACAAUGGGCGCAAGCCUGAUGCAGCGACGCCGCGUGAGGGAUGGAGGCCUUCGGGUUGUGAACCUCUUUCGCCAGUGAAGCAGGCCUGCCUCGUUUGUGGGUGGGUUGACGGUAGCUGGAUAAGAAGCGCCGGCUAACUACGUG